GCAGGGCAGGAUUCAGAAGCUAGGGAAAGGGCAUAGGCAUCUUUCAAAGGAUCUCAGAGAAGGAGAGGUCCCUUGCAGACAGGGCUAGAAAAGGUUCCCGGAGACAGAGGAGAGAGCAAGAAUGCAGACAAAGGGGUCUGCAAGAAUCUGAGAAGAGCUGCAGGUCCAGGGAAACUGAGGGGGUGAGGACCCCCAAAUGGCCAGUGGGCCAGCAGGCAAAUUGAUCCCUCGGGGCUCUGCUUAGGGGCCUACUCUAGAAAAAAGUCCUCCCAGACUCUGCUCAACAGGCAGGAAUCAUGGCUUCUUCUGUCUUAGAGCUGGUGCUUCGCAAAGGAUGUUCACUGUGAAUCCAGGACAACAUCAAGUCCAGAUGCACCCUCUGUGUGGGCACAAACCAGCAUCCAGUGUCAAACACUAAAGCUAUCCGUUCAACCAUUCAUUCAUUCAACAAAUACCUAUUGAGCACCUACUGUGUCAUGGAGGUUAGGAAUGUAAUCAUGAACAGAAGAAGGAUGAAGAUGACAAGGAACUCUAAAAUCCUUCUCUGAGAUGACAGGGACUUUAAAGGGGCCGUACCCGACACUGGGAGCAAGCAGAGCUCUGAUUUAUGUAUAGGGCUUCACUAAGAAUGAUGGAGCUGGAAAAUGAAAGAUGAGUGAGAAUUACCUACUUGGAAUGGAUUAGGCUAGUGAGAAAAAUGGUUUUCUAGGUAGAAGGAGGUGCAAGAGCAAUGCCUAGGGGCAGGGAAGAAACUUGCUAGAUUUAACAGCAGGCCAGGGGUCAUGAGCUCAGAGACACCUAGGAGGAAUGAGGCUGGGGAGGCAGGUACGCAUCAAACCAUGCAUGCUCUUGGAGGUCAUGGUCAGUGUUUAUUUUUGGAGUUCAUGUUGAAUUGCUCUGGUCUUAAUGCUGAAGGCAAAAGCGCAGGCAGCCGGCCAAGAUGAGACUGACAGCCACAGUCAAAUGAAGAAGGUUAGGAAGUGUCUGAUGUACACUUUAUAAGAAAAGAUGAGCAUGUGUAUAUUCAUAGAUACCAAGCCACAGGGGGGUUGGGCACCAUAAUUCAUCUCUAUUAAGGAGUCUCCUCUUUCCUUUGGCAUCGAGGAAAAGAAAAAGUCAGGCCUCUGAGGCAUAAAAAGCUCACCAAAGUCAUGGUUUCAGUGGUGACAGAGGGACCUUGGCACAGUUUUGUUGAGUCUUUGUGUAUAUGUGUGCAUAAUUCUCCAAACUAAAUUUAUAUAUUGAGGUAGGAGACGUAGAUUGCUAUCCUAUUCUGCAAAUGUAAAACUAAGACUUAGGAUAAUUAAAUGGCUUCUCAAAAGUCACAAAGGGAGAAGGAGACAGAAUGCAAACUAGAAACUAUCUUGUAGUUCAUCUCUCAAUAUGCUUUCUCUAAAUACCUUAGGCCCCACAAGGCUUGGAACUGACAUUUGAAAAGAUAAAGUAAAAUAAAGAUAGAUUUACUCCCCAAAAGGCAUCCUAUACGCUUGUGAAACCAGUCAAUAAUAUAUUAACUGAGUUCCACUCUAAGUUUGCAAAUAAAGAUGUUAAAUACUAGAUCAUUUACUCACCUCCGAACUGAAGGGGUUUGCGGAAAGCAAAGAAAUUCUCAAAAUCAUCACAAAAAAAAAAAGUAGGGAUAAUUGGAGACGUAAUGAAGUAAAUGAUGAUACCAAGCCACAGGGGGGUUGGGCACCAUAAUUCAUCACUAGUAAGGAUGGAAACUCAUCCAAAUACUAUUUGGAUGUGUGAUACUCAAUUAGUACUUCCACUUGGCCAUUUAGAACUUGAAAAAUUCCUGGUGAAAUUCACCUGGAAGACAGAGGUGCCUCCCCUAGUACAGAAUGAACACCCUGAGAGCAAAAGAAGCAACAGGACCUCCACAAUGAAAACAGCAUUUGAAUGGAUUAGAGAUUGGAGGUAAUUACCAAUGGUUUGGAAAAGAGGAUCUUAGAAAUGCAAACAUGACCGCUUGUGGGUGAGAACAUCAGUCCUUUAGGACAUCUGCCCCUGGUCAUCCUGCUCGAUUCCAUUUACCAGUUGGCUCUGACGUCAUAAAAAUCCUCCCCACCCCACUACCUGCCAGAGCAUCUCAGGAUAGGCGCUCCAGUGGCCCCCCUGCCCCAGCCUCUCAUGCAGCUGUGAACAUCACAGUAAGCUUCUGACAGCCUCCCCUCACUGACACACAAAUCCAACCAGUUGCACCUGGCUCUUCUUCCUCUAAGCACUCGGCUCACCGCCUCCAGCUUACACAUACCUGAAGUUUCCGCAUUCUAAGGAAGCAGACCCCUUGGGACAUCAUGAGUCCACGCACGGCUGAAUUCUGAGGUCCCCUAAAGCAACUGGGGGCAUGCAUAUAGCCCAUCCCAGUUCUAGGCCCUGUGCAAGCAUUCAUGGCUAAGCUCUCAGCCCCAGAAACUGGGAGCCAGAGAGUACAGAGGCUGGAAAAAAGGCUUAGCUCUUCCCGCAAGGGGACCUCGGUGCUCCGUUCCUCUGUCCCACCUCCUUCCCAAACUGGGACUAGCCCCACUCUGCGUUACUCCAAAAUGAGCUGGACUCAGCUGGGCUGCUCAGGGUGACACAUGUUCCCCAGGCUUCUUUAAAGGGAUAUGGAAUCUCAGCUGAUUCAAGAAGCCCUUCUGCAUGGGCCACAUCACCCGGGUGGGCUGCAGGAGGCCGGCUCCUGUGCGCCUACUUGGGGGAGGUUCGGCUCCCAGCACGGGGUCCCGGAGGCCAGGGCAGAUGUGGACAGGACUCAGCGCGUCCCUCUCCACGGCUGUCUUCCCUCCACCUUCCUGCUCUGUUCCCCUCAUCAACAAAAUUAAGGGGCGAACCGCAUCUGAGCCUGUGGUACCCUGCAGCUCUGGUGGGAGGGAGGCAAAUGGGGAGAAAUGGGAGAGAGGUGGAGGAAGCCGAGCUCAGAGACUGCUCCUGAGAGAAGGGGCUGCUGUCUCCAGCAUCCUGGGACAACGGCCAGGUAGCAGCACAGCCCAGGCAGGCCGGGGUACCAGCCUCUGCCCACCUGCCUCCUGCCAGGUAGAGGACCCCAUCUUUCAGAUUUCAACCCCUUUUUUCCACCCAGAAAACACUUUUCAUAACACAGACCAUCCCUGACCGGAAGAAUUCUGCAGGUUGUCACCCACGCCCCGAAUGACCGGGGUCUUCUCUCUCUCCCUGCCUCCUCGGGGGUCCUUUGAGCAUCUUUCCUCUGGUGAAGGGCACCCCAGAAAACUUCCUCUGCAGCGGCAUGUUUCAUUUGUCCCUUCUCCUACUCCUUUUGGGGUGAGUCUCUCCCCUGCCUUUCCUCCCAUCGCCUCCACUUCCCCCCACCUCCCUUCUUUCACGUGAUGUGAAAGGGCUGAUGUUGGCCCCACUCACCACCCCUAUGCUCGGGGUGCAUCCUCGGCCUGCGUCCACACCCCUCCCAGGCCACGAUGCCCCCAGAAACACUCAGCCUUGGUUAGGGGGCCAUUAACAAGGGCACCGUGACUUGCAUUUCCUGCCGGAGCCCCAGACCAACCAUGCCUUCUGGAAGGCUGCAGGCCCUUGCUCUUGACACCCCUUCCCUCCACCACCUACUCAAUCGUCUUUCAAAACCCCUUCAUAUAUUUUCAACCCAAGACACAGCACAAAUUUUAGUAAUCUAAUGAAGUCUGUGUUGCAACUUCUCUUCCACACCUAAAUGUUACACAUUCUUCCAGAUGUCAAGUUGAAAUGAAUCCUCUGGACACUCCAGGAAAGAAAAAAAAAAAAAAACCUCCUUCAUGCUUCACACUUUCAUCCAAAAACAAGCAUGCCGACUUGUGAGCAUUUUCAGAAGGGUCUCUUGGGAAUUCAAAUUGCUCAUCUCUUCAGUACAGGGUCUGUCAUUAGGAGUGGCAGAGCUGAAUCGCCUUUUAAGUCUUAAAACUUAACUGGGCUUGGUUUAGCAAAUCAAAAACUGAAGUGCUUGCUUCCCAGUCACGUGGUUUGGACUAAAUACCAUUUUAUAAAAAGUUUGAGGACUUUCCGUUGGAAGUGUGUGGCGGGGUGGGUGGGGGGGUGUUGACAAAGAAUGAUCUCUGUAAAACUGAAUCCAUAAUAUUAUCAUCUGCCAUCCAGAAAUACUCUGGCAAAAGUGGGUGGCGGUGUGCAGGGGGACCACCUGCAACCCAUUUCAGAGCCUUCAUCUCCUGAGAUACCAUUGUUCUCUUUUGUGCCUUGACGGGGAUGGGAACAGAGGACCUGCUCAGUCCGUGAGUACCGCAACCCCGUGAACAAGGGUUUGGCCAUGUCUCUGAGAGCCGAUCCCCGGCAUCUUUUGUCCCGAUGCCGACAUCAAGGCUCCCCCAGGGAGACGGGCUCUCUGCCAGCCAUCGCUGUCGCUAGGUAGCCAAGCCGUCCUCUUCCAGACUGGCCCUGGCUCUCUGGCCGCCCAGCUCUGGGAUGGCCUCCACGUCCAGGGCACCUUUGGGACCGAAGUCCUUGACAGUGGUGCUUUUUGGUCUUUGAAGGUGAGGCAGGAAUGGGACAGGGGGAGAGAGAGGCAAAAUGAAGGGACUCCUGGGAGAGCCCCGACACCCUCCCCCCAGGGCUGCCGCACCCCCAAACACACCCCCCCACGCCUCUGUUCAUGACCUGCUCUUUCCAAAGCAAAAUGUCAUGGGGAUAUGGGGCCUUAUGUGUCUUUUCUGUGAACUUGACUUGGUUCAGAAGGAAGCCUGAACCUUCGUGGUUAAUGCUGAAGGUCUCAGCCUCCAGCGUCUCGUCAUAAAACACUCACUGGCUGGAGCCUCCCCUCUGCCCGCUUCAAGGGAAAGUUCUGCACAAGUGCUUCCAAUCCAAUCAAAAAGACAUCCCCGAAGCAAGCUGCGAAGCGGCCGCUAAUUCUGAGCAGACAGUCUACUCAGCCCAAGGCCUCUGGGGCCCAAGCCCUGGGGGAGACACUGAUGCCUUCGGAUUCCAGAUCCUCUGGAGAGAGGCACCUGCAUGGGCCUUUCUAGAAGAAAACUCAAGCUGCAUCCCACCACCCUGCCCCCACUCCCCACCCCAUCCCCCAACGCAGCAGAGCUCUCUGCCAGACAGGUCGCUCACAGCCAGCGGGGCACAGGUCUCUCAAGGUCUCCGGCCCCAGUGACACGGGCCUAAAGCUCCCGUUGUCUGUCCUCUUGGUCUGAAGGAAGGAAAGUGAUGAAGCCAGGGCUGUCAGCAAGAGAGCUUGAGAAAGAAGGAACUCUCCAGCCCUGAUCCCCCUUUAUACAAUAUGUAGGGCUUAGGGUGCCAAACACCCUGGGCUGGGUUUGGAAAUUGUAGUUUCUGACCAGGGUCCCUGAGAGAAAAAAAGAAAAAGGAAAAUCAGAGACUCUGUGGGUCUCUUUUCCUCUCAUGUAAAUUUACAGGGUUAGGGGCAUCUGGAUCAUCUCUGGAUUGCCCCUACAACCCAAUACCCAGACUGUGGGAGCAUGUCCCCACGGUGUCCAAAUGGGGACUCAGCCUGGUCCCUCCUUUCCAUGUGGCAGACUGUGCCCCACAGUCAAGGCCAAAGGCUGCUCUUCACGUUAAAACCGUGAACGCUUUGCAGCAAGAAACCAGAUCUUCAAACCCCAAACCCACGGAAUCUUGUAUUCCACCAACAUGUAUUGAGUACUUCUUAAGGGGCCAGGUACAGGAAUGAUGGGAAUUGGAUCUGAGCAUGGUCCCUGCCCUCAAGGAAUUCACGGUCUAAAGGAAGAAACAAACAAAAGAAAAACCCAGGAGUAUCUAAGGAAAACCUCUCUCCAUCUCUCGGAGGUUGACUCAGCCCUGUUAGCAACAGCCCCCACCAUGAAUUAAUUCAGCAGGGAACCAAGAGGAGGUGUAAUCCCAGGUUUGGGGGUUGGGAGGUGGAGGGGAGGGUGGCCAGGGAGAGGGAUUUAGGAGAAAGCAUCCCUCGCAUAAAUCUCUAUUUGCUAUGAGCUAAUCGAGAUGUCUGCUCAAGGCUGAAGGUCUGGGCCAGUUAGAAUAUUUCGGAGAUAGAUCCCUUAUAUUUAGCAGUGAGAGCUCUCUGAAUGGGACUCAAUCCACUUCCACCCUCCCUAAGGCACAAAACAGUGCCCUGUCGGCAGCUGCCUCUAUGUACCAAGGAGAGGAAGUUUGAGCAAUGCAGGUUUUGUUGGAACCAGCUCAUUAAAGCACCGCUAUGACUGACUGCCGCCUGUUGGAAUUGAGGACAAGAUUGUCUCUGCAGAAAAUUAUAGACUGUAUCCCCAGCUCUGAAAAGGGGGUUUAGGAACCAAAUUCACAUAGUAGGAGGAUGCGAGCUUCUUUAAAGUUCAGGCAAAGGAUUUCAUUGCUUCAUCUGGAUUAAAACCUUAAGAUGCCAGCUCCAAGGGAUCCUGACACACGGGUGGUGGUUUCUGCGCGCCAUUCAAGGAUGCCCGCCCAUCAUGGUGGGAGUCCCGGAGCUGAAGACUUCUUAGUGUUUACCUGGUUUAUUUUAUUUCGUUAUUAAUGUAGAUAGAGCCUUUCAGUGAAGGUAUUGCAGGUUUGAAGGUUACGUCAGACCCCUGAAGAUAGAACCAGAAAGUUCAGAGGCCUGCCCACGCACACUCCUUCCCCGGAGUUCAGAGUAGGCUCUCUCUCUCAGUCUGCCUUUCCAAAUGCUACUUUAGGAUUUCCCUCUGAUCCAUCUGCUCCAUCUUAACCCUCCAAGAAACUCCAAAGAGUUGUCUUCCUCACUGGGGACAGAGAUGGUUUCCAGUUUCCCCCUGGGGUAUUCUCUACUUAGAGCUUUUGCCUCAGUCCAGUCCUGGCUGCCUUGUCAGUUUUUCCCAGGAUUCUUCCUCCCUCGACUCUCCCCCUCAUUCCCGUUUCCCGACAACCAGAGGCAUGGUGUGCUGCCCCAGUCCUAGCUGGGUCUUUCUCACCUCCGCCCCUGGCACAGCCAGGGCAGCGCCCCCUCCAGCAGGGGGCUUUCCCCUCUCCCCACCACCCUUCUCAGCACACAGCAAGCCAGAGAAGAGGGAGGCGUGGGGGGGAGUCUCAAGAGUUGGUCUGCUGAAACAUGUAAGGUGCCUGCUUCUGGAAGGCACCUGCCUCCCUGUCUUCAUUUCCAAAUGCUGAGAAACAGUGCUCACAAGCCCCUCUUUGCCCCAACCUCUUGACUCUGCAACCUGGCCCUGUCCCGGCUACCCGUCUGCCUAGCCAGCCCCCACAGCCAAAGCCUCUCCUUGCUCAGCAACAUCAACUUUGGGAAAGCAUCUCUCUAGCCAUCCACGUGAAGACGUCCUGCCGGCCCCUUCUGCACAGAGUCUUGCACCUUUGAGCCUCCUACUCCUAGAAUGAAGGAGCAAUUAGAAGGUCCCCUGGGAGACGCCAUUGCCUUCUCUUGGCAACAUGGAAUGGUCAGGCCAAGUAACCACGGGCUGAUGACACUUGUCUGGUGAAACUGGGUCUCCAUGGGCAGAGACGCUUUCCCCCGGGGAGGUCUGGAAGGGGAAGCGCCCAGCCCCGCCAGCCCUGGGGCAUACAGUGCAUUCAGUAUGCUGGGGAGAAUCCCGAGGCUCCUGGGGGGCCUGGGAGGGGCAGCUCAGUGAUGCAAAAAGGAAAACAAAGCCAGCCAGACUGGGACUCAGGAAAAGGGGGCUUCCCUUGAAGCAGAAAGGGAGGUUUUCACAAAACAGAGAACAGAACCUGGAACACAGCCCCCCCCUCUCUCACCCUGGGCUGCAUGCAGGGCUUCUCUGUGGCCCUCCUUCCCCAGGACAUCAGUUCUCUUAGGCUUGAAGGAUCAGCCUUUACUCGCGGCAGCUCUUUCCUUCCUGGGUGGCAUGAAAAUGAUGCACGGCAGUUUCUGGCUUCAGUCUCUUGUCUCCUCAAAUCAGAUUGUCCAGUGCGAGGCUCUGGGCACCUACAGCCACCAGACAGAUUCCCGACACCCCUGGGGUCCACAGUCCACCCCUGUUCUAAGCAGAACAGGAGCUCCAAAGUCAGGAACAUUGUCUAACCUGGCGAAGCAGGAACAGAAUUCAGAGAUGGAGUUCACGUUUGGUGGUGAUGGAGGCUGGGCCAUCUCGGAGACGGCCCAGCGGCCUGCCCACCUAGGACUUGCAGCACUGAGGGGCAGCCGGAACUCGGAGGUGGGACCCUGAGAAGGGAGGAGCCAUCAGAAGGCACUGUUGGAGAGCAAUCAAGCCUCAGCAAUCCCUGAGGCUCUGGGAAAGGACUUAAGGACUUGGCCCAUAGGAAGAGUUCUAGGUAGUCUUUGAUCACUGCAGGCAGAGGGAGCAAAGGGGAAAGCCGUGUGGUCAGUCACAUGAGCAGAGACCAGGUGAAGACAGGCGGACAGGCUGACUUGAGAGGAUGCCUGAGAACUUUCUGGAAAAGAGGGAAAUGCAAGGAGAAUGGGAGGUGUAAGAGGACUUAGUCCUUCCUUCGGAAAGGGCAAAGUGUUCACAGGGAGGGGCGGGUUUUAGGUUGGAACCUCAGUUCUGCAACAUCUGAUUCGCUAGAAGGCUGCAGUCUGUACUUGAGCUUCCUCUUCUGAAAAGCAAAAGUGGUAUAAGUCAAGGGAAUGAUAAAAAGAUGAAUCAGACGUGUCCCCUCCUUGACCUAUACUGGGUUCAUCUCAGUUCAGUUCACUGGGCUCAGUGGGACCCCUUCAGCUUCCUGUUCACGGUUAGUGCUUCUCAAUCGUGUGCACGCCAUCCACUCUCUCUGUCUCAGCCUUUGUUUCCUCCUGCCUCGGGGCUCUCCCCAGCUUCCCUCCGAGCUGGACCAGGCAGUGGGGGCCCCACCCUAUGGACCGUCCCGUCCAGAGCCAGGGGCCUGGGGACAGGCACACAAUGCGUGCUGGGUGCACUGAGUGGUCGCCCCACCCACCAGGAGUCUUCUCUGAGCUCCAGCUUUUGUCCAAUCACUGGCCACUCACAUGGAAAAGAGAGGGCAUGUGUGCAGGCCUCAGCUUCCUGGUCUCUAAAACGGAAGCCUGGUCUUCGAGUCCUCUCGGAGGCCUCUCUUGGAAAAGAAGCUGAUUUAAAAAAAAAAAAAAAACUUCAUCUUCGAGAUUUAAUAAACAGAAAAGUAUGGGAAAGGUACACCCAUAGAAAUGUCUGUUUCAGAGGUGCUCUGAGGUUACCAGCGGAGGUAAAUUUGACCUCCAGCUGCUCCCUCGGAGCUCAGAGAAGCUCUGUGGUUUAAAAAAAACACAACAACAAAAAUCAAUGCUCUUGAAACAGGAGCUCUGUAUCAAGAGAGAAAAAAAUUCAGAAGAGACACUGGCUCUUCCUUUCUUUCCACUCAUUCCUUUCUUGGCGGGCUGAAUCGCAGUGUCCUGGUGGAAGGGGACAUUUGAAAUUCCAUAGAGCCUCCACCAAGGCCGGAAACUGGCUCAAGAUCUUCAAUCAGUCACAGUGGCCUCAGUCCACAUGCAGGUCCUCCAAGAGACCCCGACUGGGCCGAGUGAACACUUGGCCCUUCUGACCGGGCCAUGGUCAGGUCCACCGGGCAGGUCCUGAAAUCAUCCAUGUAGGCUAGCAUGUCUGCCUCCACUGCUAGACUGUGAGCUCCUCGAGGGCAGGGGUGGUUGGCCCCCUUUUCAAUCAGGGAGCACACUUGUUUUCCAACGACUGACUUGUAGAUGACUAAAACGUAUCCGCGAUGUAUUUUAAUUAGGUAACUGGCUUUGGUAAACAGUAGGCCAUAGUACCAUGCCCAGAACUGAAGGACACAGACCAGAAAGAAGUCCUGAAGGGUGCAAACCAUGAGUUUAUUUGAAGGAGGAGGGGGCAGCCACUGAGUUUGAUGUGCCAACUGAAAGUGUCCAAUCUGGUGUAAAGCACCUGGAGAUACAGAACUAGGGCUCAGAAAAGCAGUCAGGAAUAUGUUUGGGGAAAUCAGCAUAUUGACUUAAGCAUCAUGGGUAUGUAUGAGACAAGCCUAGGAGAGAAGAGUGACCAGGGCACUUGAGGCUGGAAUUCUGGGGAAGUCCAUUUCCUAGAGGACAAGAACGUUGGCCUUAGAACUGCAGAAAAGCAGAGGGACAAGCAGGAAGAUCAUGGGGGGGGGGAAGGGAGGAGGGAGUUUCAAGAAGGAAAGCCUGAAAAUUGAGGCGGGGUCCUUAGUCAAGUGGUUUUGAGAGAAACAGAGUGGGUGGGGGCAGGCCUGAUGGUCAAAUUCUUCCUAUAGUAAUGGAAAGUGUGGAAAUAAAUUGAAGAAGGUGAUAUUACAAGGAGCAAGGUGGACGCAGCAAAAAGUUUUAUAAGCAAAACAAGCAAACAAAAAAAAAACCCACAGGAGCCUUAGCUAGCUCUCUGCCUGGCUAUGUUUCUUUCUGUAGUGAAAGAUGUUCCGCACUCUUAAGUUUUAACCAGCAGACAAGAAGCUGAGGUUCUCCAAGUCUUCCUUAAACUCCUGUUAUCAUCCUCUCCUUCAAGUCUGUUAUUUCUCAUGGGAGAAUGGCAAGAAAGACUAAUUCCAUUAUGGAAAGUAUUCUCAAAAGGACAUGAAGGCGCACAAAUGCCCCCUAGGGCUCUGCAUCUGUUUGUGCAGAGAACAGGAUGCGUAGAUUCUACAUGAGGCUAAAAUGGAAAAGUUGUCUUCCUCAAAUCGCAAACAGAAGCUAUGCACACAGAACAAAAGAUGACUUCCUGUACACCCACGGUCCUUCUUCCUCUACAUCCAGUCUGCUCAGAGGAUUGGGAAAUGGAAGCAGCAGCGAAACACCUGUCCUCCAGGGGUCUGUGGUCUACCUGUAACCGCACUCAAAUACUCCAAGGGCCUCUUGCUUUUUGGAAUCAUCCAAACCAGAAUUGGGGGUGGGGCCACUGGACCUGUCAAUUGCUAGACUUGAGUAAGGAGCAUAAAGCUCCCUGGGCCUGUUUCUUGGUCAGUAAAACAGGAAGAAUUUUUUGCAUUUUAUAUUAGGACUGGAAACAUACAUGAAGCAGUUGACAACAGUGGCUGGCAUACACAAGAAGAGUUGCCUUGAUCACUCUGGGCGCAACGUGAGGACAGAAUUCAUAUAAAAUCGAGCCAGGGAGGGCAGAGAAAAUGAAAACGGCUUCUUGGAGAAGGUGAAAAUAAAAGUUAGCCUUCAAAGGUGAACCUCAGGAAAUGAUGAUCCUGGGGGGAUUUGCAAGACCUACUUUUACUUCUCACCCCCAGCCAUCUAGAAUCAGUAGGAGUGAUCUGUGUGUGUCUGCCAUGGAACCUCUCUUUGCCCAGGGACUCUAACGGCCCUCCACUCAGUCAGCCCCAGUCCUGGAUCCCACUAGCUCUCAACAUGUGGGAAAACAAACCGGGCACCUCGCUCCUGGCCUUUGUGUUCGUCCCUGGACCUGUGGUGCCACCUCAUGCCUGCCCAUUUGCCAUCAUCCUAGAUCCCUCAACUAGCCCCUCAACGUCCAUCUCCUCCGCUAGCACGGAGUGGGCUAGCUAGCGAUGUCUUCCACCAUGCCCACCAGGAAGCUCUCCUUGCCACCUCCCUUAUCCUUAAAGAACUUUUGAAACGCAAUGGUAAUUAGCAAUUAAUAUAUCUGACCACAUGUUCCUGCCAGCUUGAUAUCAGGAGCUAAAUUACACUCCAUUCAUUUCUCCCUACAGUGCCUGGCACCUAACAAGUACUCAAUAAAUGUUUGUUGGAUUAGCUGGAUGAGUAAAUUUCCCUGCACAUUUUAUGAAUGCUAGCUGUGAUUAUAGACAAACAUAGAAGUCUGUGUAUUUAUAAUAGUCUUUCCUAAGUGCAGUUUUUAAUUGUGCUGUAUUAAAGCGAGACAAAUUGAAAAGAAUAAGAAUAUUGAUGAGUCGUACUCAUGACACCUUUAUUUUCUGUUAAUUAGGAAAGUUGCAGUAGUUCCAAAUAAAAUGGUACUUGGGUCACCCGUGCAAUAGGUAUGAAACAAGAGUAAAGCUGGAAGCCCAGGUGAGCCAGAAUUUUGCUGCACCAAGGCAGCUUUUAACCUCAAUCUGUAUUGCAAACACAGUGGAAGGAGGGGAAAGGGGUUUAUAGAGAUAUUGGGAAAUGCUAUGGAGGAAAACAUUUUACGAGUAGACAGAUAUUUUCCAGGCAGCUCUCAGACCAGAUGAUCUUCACUUUUUUCCCCCUUUGUUUCCUAAAACAAAACUGUAAAGCUUUUUUCGGCACCACAGGACACAGCACAACUAGAAGGAACUUGAAAAGCAGCUCUUCCUCACUGGGGGCUCCCAAGGUAUCACCAUGGUGAAAAUUCAUAUAACAGCAAUCAGCAGUUCCCCUGGACUUAAAAAAAAUUUUGAAAAAUUAUUUUGAAAAACUGCAGCAGGGAGACUGAGAUCCCUUGUAGCAUUCACUUUGUAGCAAGAAGCACAGAUAGUGGUUAAGAGCUUUGAAGCCAGAUUGCCUGGGCUGGACUCUGGAUCACCUGCUGCAUUUUCAGAACAGCCAAACACUGGAAACAAUGCAAAUGUUCAUCAACAGCAGAAGGGACAGCACCCGAUGGAGUAUUGAUCUAACGGAACAAUGACCAAGAUGAAUCUCAUGGACAUGAUGUUGAGCGGAAGAUGAGUAGACACUGUGUGCUUUCAUUUAUGUAAAGUUCAUGGACAGGCAAAACUACACAGAUAGAAAUAAGAAAGCAGUUACCUCUGGGCGGGAGGGGGGUUGACUGGAAAGGACCAGAAAGAAACAUUCUGUAGCAGUGGUUCCAACAGGGGGUGAUUCUGUCACCGAGAGAACAUUCAGUAAUGUUCAUUACUUUGUCAUGUUCUAGCAUCUUCCAUGACAGAAUGGAAACUGUUAACUCUCCUACAAUGCCCAGGGCUGCUACCCACAACAAAGGGUGACCCAGCUCCACAUGUCAGUGGUGCAGAGGUUGAGAAACCCUUGUCUGGAGUAAUGGAAAAUGUUCUAUAGCUGGAUUGGUUACAUGGGUUUGGCAAAACUCAUCAAGCCAUAUUUUGCUGAAUGUAACUGUAACCCCAGUUUUAAAAAGACACUAAACAAAAUGACAAAAGGAAAGGAAACACAUCAUGAGAUGUUCCCUUAGACACAUGUGGUUCCAUUAUUAACCUUCUGAGGAAGAAUCAUCAGUUUUACUAGACCCAUGCUGCACCUAUACCAGUAUUGUAUGUAGUCUGAUUUCAUCAACCAUUAAUAAACAUAUGUAAUUUGU